rnacentral:lncRNA from 1 species
CAAUGGAUAAGAUCUGCAUUCUGUAAUCCUGUUAGGAAUAGCAGGGUUGCCACUUUCUAAUGCAGCUCUUGCACUUUCGACUUCUUUAGGUAAAACAGCCUUUAAUUCGUCUUCGAAAGCUCCAAUCUUUUGGAAGAUUGAGCUAUUCACAUUCUUCUCAAUUUCACCAUUAUUCAUUGCAUGAUCAACAAGUACUUGUCUCAGUUUUUGCAUUAGAGGGUAGUUGCAACUGCAAGGAUCAUCAGCCUAAGCGAACAAGUAUUCCCUAUCCACGACUCGUAGCAACUCCUUCUCGCAGAAUCUUGCUGGAUGAAGUUCACCAUUAGCACCCAUUGUUAGAGUUCUCUUAGCUACUUGGCUAACUGUGUUCUUGACUGCAUUCUUUAAAUUCACAUUCUUCUCACUUUCACCAUUAUUCAUUGCAUGAUCAACAAGUACUUGUCUCAGUUUUUGCAUUAGAGGGUAGUUGCAACUGCAAGGAUCAUCAGCGUAGGCGAACAAGUAUUCCCUAUCCACGACUCGUAGCAACUCCUUCUCGCAGAAUCUUGCUGGAUGAAGUUCACCAUUAG